rnacentral:rRNA from 1 species
AUUGAACGCUGGCGGCAGGCCUAACACAUGCAAGUCGAGCGAGCGGCGGACGGGUGAGUAAUGUAUGGGAAACUGCCUGAUGGAGGGGGAUAACUACUGGAAACGGUAGCUAAUAACGCAUACCAUCAGAUGGGCCCAGAUGGGAUUAGCUAGUAGGUGGGGUAACGGCUCACCUAGUCGACGAUCCCUAGCUGGUCUGAGGGGAUGGCCAGCCACACUGGAACUGAUGCACGGUCCAGACGCCUACGGGAGGCAGCAUUGGGGAAUAUUGCACAAUGGGUGCCAGCCUGAUGCAGCCAUGCCGCGUGUGUGAAGAAGGCCUUCGGGUUGUAAAGCACUUUCAGCGUGGAGGCGUUACCCGCAGAAGAAGCACCGGCUAACUCCGUGCCAGCAGCCGCGGUAAUUC